rnacentral:lncRNA from 1 species
AUGUUCUUCCCAACGUCCUUGUUCCAACAACCGGAUCAAGCUUAUCCUAUAGCUAGGCGGGAUGAAACCUAAAUCCCCUGAAUCUUCCUCCUGUCUGCAUCAUCUUAGAUUUCAUCUCGUUCAACCAAACUCCUAACUCCUGUCUCCCACAACAAAACCACGUUUGUGAGCUUCAUCCACGACAUCCCAGCCAGCAAAUCCUCUUCCAAAUUCCCCUAUUUCGAAACCAAUUCCAACCAAUCCCCUGUUCCGAAUCAGCCUCAUCAUCUUCUUCCCAAUGAAAGCAUCCUUAUCCCAACUCCAUCAUUUCGGAUUACAUCCCUUGUUUCAGCAGAACAGAACCACCAAGCUUCGGCUGUUUCU